UUGCCCUCUGGAGGCUCUUGAUGCCUUUAGUGGCCAUUAUUGAGGGGUAAAUCAUGGUCCUCUCUUAAACCUGGGUCAGUGGUCUCACCACUGACUCUGGACCUGUCGGGAGGAACAAAA